GCGACGCUUUUUUAUUUAAGAAAACAACAGUUCGUUGACCGAUCCACGUUUUUAGGGAUUCUAUUUAGCUGUUCUCACCUGAUUACAAUUUUUAGAUGAUCCCUUCGUAGAAGAUAAUCACUCUCGGCGGCUCCUCCUAUGGCAUGUCACCACCUCACCGACGUAUCACAAUGGGCGACGGCGGCGGCGGCGGCGGCAGUGGCACGACAACAUCUAACGGGGACGAUGAGAUGCGCGACUCGCGGCGACAACCUCCGACCGCAAAACAAGAUUCAUGGGAAGCUCUCUCCCCCUGCUGUUGGAUUCCAGGUGAUCGUCAUCUGGCCUCGUCGUUGCCUUCCGGUUCGCUAGUUUAUAUGGAUGGGACUGAGAGACAUGCAUCAGUACAACGGACCCACCUUCUUUCCAAUUGAUCUUGAAGCCUCGACUCCAAGGGCCAGGCGGCCAGCGGCAUGUGGCUCUCCUGGUGGCCGACUGCACCUGCACUCGGACAACUGUGAUGAUUCAAUCCUUCCUGUCGGCGACAUACGUAUGUGCUCAGCUUCAGCUAUGUAUGCACGCUGCCCACCUCGGUCAUAAAAGAAGAAUGUCACCACUUCGAUGGGAAAACACCAGAAUGGAUUACAUACAAUAGUUGCUUCUCACUAACUGUUUAGACGAACAUAUUUGUAUUUUUUGUGCACAUACUCUCCUUGUAAAUUCAUACUCAUAGAUCUGAAUAUACUCAUCUUUAGAUCAACAUACUCCUUUCUAGGAAAAUGCUGCUUUGUAACAAAUAUACUAACCAUACUCACAGCUUCGAAGAUACUCCCUCCAUAAAAAAAUAUAAGAGCAUUUAGAUCACUAAAGUAGCGCUGCUCUUAUAUUUCUUUAUAGAGUGAGUACUAUUUUUUGGAUGAACAUACUCAUAUUUCUGGGCAUACUCAUAUAUAUUUGUCCAGCAAACUAAUUAUACCAGAUUUCUUUCAGGCUUCUUUAUUUGAUAAGAAGAAAAGUGAGAAAGAGCAGGGCACGUCUUUAAUAAAUAUUGUUGUUAUCCUAGUUUAAACUACAAAAGAAAGAUCAUCUUGUAAAUUAUACGGAGUUCUAGUCCUAAUACACUCCCACUGUUUCUCUUUUGACGUACUGAAUUUAUGAAGCAAUCGCCAUCUCUUCGUUGUGUAACAAGUUUCCGAUCUUCUUGUUUGUUUAUGCUCCAGUUCUUGACCUAACAACUAUGCUUCUUUACUUUCAGAUCUUACCGCAAACUGCAGAAAAUUUGUGCUUUGGAAAAGAAGUGUGUGUUGACAUCUGGCGAAACAUAUUCAUAUUGGCCGCAAGAUAUACUCUUUUUUACUGUAAUCCAUUUUUGGUGUAAAUAUAUGCUUGAACUGGGAUAUAUAAAAGCAAGUGUGUACUUUUAUU